UACGUAGGGUGCGAGCGUUAAUCGGAAUUACUGGGCGUAAAGCGUGCGCAGGCGGUCUGUUAAGACCGAUGUGAAAUCCCCGGGCUCAACCUGGGAAUGGCAGUGGAUACUGGCAAGCUAGAGUGUGUCAGAGGAUGGUGGAAUUCCCGGUGUAGCGGUGAAAUGCGUAGAGAUCGGGAGGAACAUCAGUGGCGAAGGCGGCCAUCUGGGACAACACUGACGCUGAGGCACGAAAGCGUGGGGAGCAAACAGG
rnacentral:rRNA from 1 species